rnacentral:rRNA from 1 species
UACGGGGGGGGCAAGCGUUGUUCGGAAUUACUGGGCGUAAAGGGUUCGUAGGUGGCCUGCUAAGUCAGACGUGAAAUCCCUCAGCUUAACUGGGGAACUGCGUCUGAGACUGGUGGGCUUGAGUGCAGGAGAGGAACGCGGAAUUCCAGGUGUAGCGGUGAAAUGCGUAGAUAUCUGGAGGAACACCGGUGGCGAAGGCGGCUCACUGGACCGGUAUUGGCGCUGAGGUGCGAAAGCGUGGGGAGCAAACAGG